ACCCGGAGAACUGAAACAUCUUAGUACCCGGAGGAAGAGAAAGAAAAUUCGAUUCCCUUAGUAGCGGCGAGCGAAACGGGAAGAGCCCAAACCAAAAAGCUUGCUUGUUGGGGUUGUAGGACACUCUGUACGGAGUUACAAAGGACGACAUUAGACGAAUCAUCUGGAAAGAUGAAUCAAAGAAGGUAAUAAUCCUGUAGUCGAAAAUGUUGUCUCUCUUGAGUGGAUCCUGAGUACGACGGAGCACGUGAAAUUCCGUCGGAAUCUGGGAGGACCAUCUCCUAAGGCUAAAUACUCUCUAGUGACCGAUAGUGAACCAGUACCGUGAGGGAAAGGUGAAAAGCACCCCGGAAGGGGAGUGAAAUAGAACCUGAAACCGUGUGCUUACAAGUAGUCAGAGCCCGUUAAUGGGUGAUGGCGUGCCUUUUGUAGAAUGAACCGGCGAGUUACGAUUUGAUGCAAGGUUAAGCAGUAAAUGUGGAGCCGUAGCGAAAGCGAGUCUGAAUAGGGCGUUUAGUAUUUGGUCGUAGACCCGAAACCAGGUGAUCUACCCUUGGUCAGGUUGAAGUUCAGGUAACACUGAAUGGAGGACCGAACCGACUUACGUUGAAAAGUGAGCGGAUGAACUGAGGGUAGCGGAGAAAUUCCAAUCGAACCUGGAGAUAGCUGGUUCUCUCCGAAAUAGCUUUAGGGCUAGCCUCAAGUGAUGAUUAUUGGAGGUAGAGCACUGUUUGGACGAGGGGCCCCUCUCGGGUUACCGAAUUCAGACAAACUCCGAAUGCCAAUUAAUUUAACUUGGGAGUCAGAACAUGGGUGAUAAGGUCCGUGUUCGAAAGGGAAACAGCCCAGACCACCAGCUAAGGUCCCAAAAUAUAUGUUAAGUGGAAAAGGAUGUGGCGUUGCCCAGACAACUAGGAUGUUGGCUUAGAAGCAGCCAUCAUUUAAAGAGUGCGUAAUAGCUCACUAGUCGAGUGACACUGCGCCGAAAAUGUACCGGGGCUAAACAUAUUACCGAAGCUGUGGAUUGUCCUUUGGACAAUGGUAGGAGAGCGUUCUAAGGGCGUUGAAGCAUGAUCGUAAGGACAUGUGGAGCGCUUAGAAGUGAGAAUGCCGGUGUGAGUAGCGAAAGACGGGUGAGAAUCCCGUCCACCGAUUGACUAAGGUUUCCAGAGGAAGGCUCGUCCGCUCUGGGUUAGUCGGGUCCUAAGCUGAGGCCGACAGGCGUAGGCGAUGGAUAACAGGUUGAUAUUCCUGUACCACCUAUAAUCGUUUUAAUCGAUGGGGGGACGCAGUAGGAUAGGCGAAGCGUGCGAUUGGAUUGCACGUCUAAGCAGUAAGGCUGAGUAUUAGGCAAAUCCGGUACUCGUUAAGGCUGAGCUGUGAUGGGGAGAAGACAUUGUGUCUUCGAGUCGUUGAUUUCACACUGCCGAGAAAAGCCUCUAGAUAGAAAAUAGGUGCCCGUACCGCAAACCGACACAGGUAGUCAAGAUGAGAAUUCUAAGGUGAGCGAGCGAACUCUCGUUAAGGAACUCGGCAAAAUGACCCCGUAACUUCGGGAGAAGGGGUGCUCUUUAGGGUUAACGCCCAGAAGAGCCGCAGUGAAUAGGCCCAAGCGACUGUUUAUCAAAAACACAGGUCUCUGCUAAACCGUAAGGUGAUGUAUAGGGGCUGACGCCUGCCCGGUGCUGGAAGGUUAAGAGGAGUGGUUAGCUUCUGCGAAGCUACGAAUCGAAGCCCCAGUAAACGGCGGCCGUAACUAUAACGGUCCUAAGGUAGCGAAAUUCCUUGUCGGGUAAGUUCCGACCCGCACGAAAGGCGUAACGAUUUGGGCACUGUCUCAACGAGAGACUCGGUGAAAUCAUAGUACCUGUGAAGAUGCAGGUUACCCGCGACAGGACGGAAAGACCCCGUGGAGCUUUACUGUAGCCUGAUAUUGAAAUUCGGCACAGCUUGUACAGGAUAGGUAGGAGCCUUUGAAACGUGAGCGCUAGCUUACGUGGAGGCGCUGGUGGGAUACUACCCUAGCUGUGUUGGCUUUCUAACCCGCACCACUUAUCGUGGUGGGAGACAGUGUCAGGCGGGCAGUUUGACUGGGGCGGUCGCCUCCUAAAAGGUAACGGAGGCGCUCAAAGGUUCCCUCAGAAUGGUUGGAAAUCAUUCAUAGAGUGUAAAGGCAUAAGGGAGCUUGACUGCGAGACCUACAAGUCGAGCAGGGUCGAAAGACGGACUUAGUGAUCCGGUGGUUCCGCAUGGAAGGGCCAUCGCUCAACGGAUAAAAGCUACCCCGGGGAUAACAGGCUUAUCUCCCCCAAGAGUUCACAUCGACGGGGAGGUUUGGCACCUCGAUGUCGGCUCAUCGCAUCCUGGGGCUGUAGUCGGUCCCAAGGGUUGGGCUGUUCGCCCAUUAAAGCGGUACGCGAGCUGGGUUCAGAACGUCGUGAGACAGUUCGGUCCCUAUCCGUCGUGGGCGUAGGAAAUUUGAGAGGAGCUGUCCUUAGUACGAGAGGACCGGGAUGGACAUACCUCUGGUGUACCAGUUGUCGUGCCAACGGCAUAGCUGGGUAGCUAUGUGUGGACGGGAUAAGUGCUGAAAGCAUCUAAGCAUGAAGCCCCCCUCAAGAUGAGAUUUCCCAACUUCGGUUAUAAGAUCCCUCAAAGAUGAUGAGGUUAAUAGGUUCGAGGUGGAAGCAUGGUGACAUGUGGAGCUGACGAAUACUAAUCGAUCGAAGACUUAAUCAA
rnacentral:rRNA from 1 species